AUGCACAUCUUUGAUUUUUGUGUUUUUAUCAUGACAUGUGUUCGAUGCAACAAGAGAGAUGCUUUCGAUAUGGGCUAUAUGGUACAUAACGCUUGGACCGAUUGCAGGUGAGACGAUGUUAGAGAUGACAUGAUUGAAGGAAGAGGCUAAAACGCCGGUUGAGCAACAACUUGCAGCAGAGAGAAGGUGCAUAAACAGCAGAGUGAGACCUUGAAAGCGAACUACAAGUAUGAGCUGAUUGAUGGUGCACAAGACGAUGGGAUGGUGAAGUGUUUUGCUAGCCAUUAUGGGAAAUAAAAACUCGACGACGACUAUUCUGAUGCUUCUAAGCUUCUUGACAUAUGUAACUUCAUAGUUUAAGUGAAAGUGAUGCUUAAGAA
rnacentral:lncRNA from 1 species